rnacentral:sRNA from 1 species
AUUCCCAGUACAGCGUGGAGGGGUUAGGCAGCGUGUCUGAUUCUCUGCGGAACGGCGAGCACAUUUGUGCUUUGCCCGCCGCGGCCCAGGAGGCCUUUUGGGGCCGCGUAGUCGGUGUUUUUGAACUGACUCCACAGCUCGUGGCGGGCCGUGCGGCGCCCUGACCCGGCCUGACCAUGUUGGUGCUGUUUGAAACGUCUGUGGGCUACGCCAUCUUUAAGGUUCUAAAUGAGAAGAAACUUCAAGAGGUUGAUAGUUUAUGGAAAGAAUUUGAAACUCCAGAGAAAGCAAACAAAAUAGUAAAGCUAAAACAUUUUGAGAAAUUUCAGGAUACAGCAGAAGCAUUAGCAGCAUUCACAGCUCUGAUGGAGGGCAAAAUCAAUAAGCAGCUGAAAAAAGUUCUGAAGAAAAUAGUAAAAGAAGCCCAUGAACCGCUGGCAGUAGCUGAUGCUAAACUAGGAGGGGUCAUAAAGAUGUUCUUGUUCUUGUAGGAAAAGCUGAAUCUCAGUUGUAUCCAUAGUCCUGUUGUUAAUGAACUUAUGAGAGGAAUUCGUUCACAAAUGGAUGGAUUAAUCCCUGGG